rnacentral:rRNA from 1 species
AACGCUAGCUACAGGCCUAACACAUGCAAGUCGAGGGGCAUCAUGUCGGCAGCUUGCUGCCGAUGAUGGCGACCGGCGAAUGGGUGAGCAACGCGUAUCCAACCUGCCCCCGGCGCGGGGAUAGCCCUUGGAAAUGAGGAUUAAGCCCCGAUAGGCGCCUUCGCCGCAUGGCGCAGGCGUGAAGUUGUGCCGGGGAUGGGGAUGCGUUGGAUUAGCUUGACGGCGGGGCGACGGCCCACCGUGGCGACGAUCCAUAGGGGUUCUGAGAGGAAGGUCCCCCACACUGGCACUGAGACACGGGCCAGACUCCUACGGGAGGCAGCAGUGAGGAAUAUUGGUCAAUGGGCGAGAGCCUGAACCAGCCAAGUAGCGUGCAGGACGGCGGCCCUACGGGUUGUAAACUGCUUUUGCGGGAGGAUAAACCGCGCCACGUGUGGCGCGCUGCAGGUAUCCCGUGAAUAAGGACCGGCUAAUUCCGUGCC